UCCGUAGGCGGUUUUGUAAGUCAGUGGUGAAAUCUGGUCGCUUAACGAUCAAACGGCCAUUGAUACUGCAGGACUUGAAUUACCAGGAAGUAACUAGAAUAUGUAGUGUAGCGGUGAAAUGCUUAGAUAUUACAUGGAAUACCAAUUGCGAAGGCAGGUUACUACUGGUUUAUUGACGCUGAUGGACGAAAGCGUGGGGAGCAAACA
rnacentral:rRNA from 1 species